AUUGAACGCUGGCGGCAGGCCUAACACAUGCAAGUCGAACGAGUGGCGGACGGGUGAGUAAUGUCUGGGAAACUGCCCGAUGGAGGGGGAUAACUACUGGAAACGGUAGCUAAUACCGCAUACCAUCGGAUGUGCCCAGAUGGGCUUAGCUAGUAGGUUGGGUAACGGCUCACCUAGGCGACGAGCCCUAGCUGGUCUGACAGGAUGACCAGCCACCCUGGAACUGAGCCACGGUCCAGACUCCUACGGGAGGCAGCAGUGGGGAAUAUUGCACAAUGGGCGCAAGCCUGAUGCAGCCAUGCCGCGGGUAUGAAGAAGGCCUUCGGGUUGUAAAGUACUUUCAGCGAGGAGGCGUUACUCGCAGAAGAAGCACCGGCUAACUCCGUGCCAGCAGCCGCGGUAAUUC
rnacentral:rRNA from 1 species